rnacentral:snoRNA from 1 species
AUAUUGGGGAUGACGAAUUGAAUAUGCAUAGUUCAACUGAAUUCCGUGAUGAACUACAUCAAGCAAUGUCUUUCGCUCCUAUCCGACCCAAUUC